rnacentral:rRNA from 1 species
CCUACGGGAGGCAGCAGUGGGGAAUCUUGCACAAUGGAGGAAACUCUGAUGCAGCGAUGCCGCGUGAGUGAAGAAGGCCUUUGGGUUGUAAAGCUCUUUUGUAGGGGAAGAUAAUGACUGUACCCUAAGAAUAAGGUCCGGCUAACUUCGUGCCAGCAGCCGCGGUAAUACGAAGGGACCUAGCGUAGUUCGGAAUUACUGGGCGUAAAGCGCGCGUAGGCCGUUGAGUUAGUUAAUUGUGAAAUCCCAAAGCUUAACUUUGGAACUGCAAUUAAAACUGCUCGACUAGAGUUUGAUAGAGGAAAGCGGAAUACAUAGUGUAGAGGCGAAAUUCGUAGAUAUUAUGUAGAACACCAGUUGCGAAGGCGGCCUUCUGGAUCAACACUGACGCUGAGGCGCGAAAGUAUGGGUAGCAAAGAGGAUUAGAUACCCUCGUAGUCCAUACCAUAAACGAUGAUUGCUAGAUGUUGGAAAUUUAUUUUCAGUAUCGCAGCUAACGCAUUAAGCAAUCCGCCUGGGGAGUACGACCGCAAGGUUAAAACUCAAAUGAAAUUGAACGG